CCUUGAAGCCCACCCGUUUAACCCGUUUCACCAACCCCAUCUAUCCUUCUUAGUUCUAUCUUUUUCUUCCAACACCAUUCAUGCCCUAUUUUUUCUUUUUUUUUACAUGAACAGAAGAUGUAAAAUUGUAAAUGUCUUUCAAUCCCAAUCCCUAAUCCAUCUUAUAUGCUUCACUGAUGAAAGAAAAUCUAUAAAUUGAUUUCAUACAUUGACGAAUAUCAGAGUGGUGUUCCUGUAUUGUUUCAUUGCUUCUGUUGUUUCAAUUAUUACAAAUUUUUUUUAGUAAUAAGUCCGAAGUUUGAAGCGAUUUCACUAGAAAGAGAUGGGUGACCUUGAUCGAGUGAACUAAAGAGACAUUUUUAGGUGCUUUAUGAUCCGAUUUUAAUACAAUUGAAGCUAUUCAUAUCCAUCUUUAGAUACGGGUGUUUAACUUCUAUUUGUUGGAAUGGUAAAGGUUAUACUUAUCUUCUAUUUGUGUUUUGAUUUGUAAAAUUCUAUUUUAUAAUACGGGUGUAGAUACGGGUGAUCUGCAUAUAAAGGUUAUACUUAAUGUUCAACAAUACUUAUGUCAAAUUUAAAGGUAGCACCUCUAUUUUUCUUCUUACUAUGUAAAUUACUCGCUUCUUAAUUUACAGGCCCUGAGAAUCUUAAUGAUAGUCAUUUUUGUUCUUCUCAACAAAAGCUAUUAAAUUAAUUAUUUAAUUAUUCAGCCACGAUGCUUGCCAAGAAUUUUAGUCCACUAGCGGUUAGUUCGUCUUAGGUCUUACCCUUUCCUUCGACUGAUCUUGUGUAGAGAGUUUUGCUUGUAGUCUCAUUCAACGUCACUUACAGCCAAAUACAGAAGUUAAAAGUGAUCUGAUCACUUCGGCUACAAAACCCAAAAUGUUCGUUAAUUAUCAAAAAUUCAGAUUGCACUUUGGAUGUGACCUCGUCUCUUAAUUACUACUGUAUAUACUUAUUUAUCAUAACCUGUUAGUGAUAUACUAAUACAGUAUAAAUCCAACUCGGGCAUUUGUACUAUUGCAAAAAGGCAGGUUGGGUAAUUGGUAAGAGUGGGUAGUUGUUUAGGAUGAUAAGUUGGUUUGUCUAGAUUUUAGAAUUGCACCUGUAUCUUUCGUUUAGCCAGUUCCAAGAGUCAUGACAUUGUUACUCCACUUGGUAUAGUAUAUAUUAAUACUAACAUGUAAUUUUGUGUGGGUUUUUGACUUUAGAGUUUAGACGAUACUGAUAGAUUAGUUGAUCUAGAAUUUGAACAAGACAUAUGAGAAGUAUUCCAUCAUUUUUCUAGCUCAGAUGCAGAUUCUUCAGUUUUCAUCCAGGAUUUUGCUCGAAGUGCUUUGGUCAAACCCAUCAAAGUCUAUGUGGGUCGAGCAAGAAGCAGCAAAUUUUGAUGUUAUUGACUAUAUAUUCAUAUGUUAUCUUAUACGUACUCAAGUAAUAAUGGAAUGAGAUUCAUUUUUUUCUACCAAAA